GACGAACGCUGGCGGCGUGCUUAACACAUGCAAGUCGUACGGAAAGGCCCCUUUGGGGGUACACGAGUGGCGAACGGGUGAGUAACACGUGAGUAACCUGCCCUCGACUUCGGGAUAACUUCAGGAAACUGGUGCUAAUACCGGAUAUGUAUCCUUGCUGCAUGGUGGGGGUUGGAAAGCUUCGGCGGUUUUGGAUGGACUCGCGGCUUAUCAGCUUGUUGGUGGGGUAGUGGCUUACCAAGGCUUUGACGGGUAGCCGGCCUGAGAGGGCGACCGGCCACAUUGGGACUGAGAUACGGCCCAGACUCCUACGGGAGGCAGCAGUGGGGAAUAUUGCACAAUGGGCGGAAGCCUGAUGCAGCAACGCCGCGUGCGGGAUGACGGCCUUCGGGUUGUAAACCGCGUUCAGCAGGGGCGAAGCUUGUGGUGACGGUACCUGCAGAAGAAGCACCGGCUAACUACGUG
rnacentral:rRNA from 1 species